rnacentral:rRNA from 1 species
GACGAACGCUGGCGGCGUGCUUAACACAUGCAAGUCGAACGGAAAGGCCCUGCUUUUGUGGGGUGCCCGAGUGGCGAACGGGUGAGUAACACGUGAGUAACCUGCCCUUGACUUUGGGAUAACUUCAGGAAACUGGGGCUAAUACCGGAUAGGAGCUCCUGCUGCAUGGUGGGGGUUGGAAAGUUUCGGCGGUUGGGGAUGGACUCGCGGCUUAUCAGCUUGUUGGUGGGGUAGUGGCUUACCAAGGCUUUGACGGGUAGCCGGCCUGAGAGGGUGACCGGCCACAUUGGGACUGAGAUACGGCCCAGACUCCUACGGGAGGCAGCAGUGGGGAAUAUUGCACAAUGGGCGGAAGCCUGAUGCAGCAACGCCGCGUGCGGGAUGACGGCCUUCGGGUUGUAAACCGCUUUCGCCUGUGACGAAGCGUGAGUGACGGUAAUGGGUAAAGAAGCACCGGCUAACUACGUGCCAGCAGCCGCGGUGAUACGUAGGGUGCGAGCGUUGUCCGGAUUUAUUGGGCGUAAAGGGCUCGUAGGUGGUUGAUCGCGUCGGAAGUGUAAUCUUGGGGCUUAACCCUGAGCGUGCUUUCGAUACGGGUUGACUUGAGGAAGGUAGGGGAGAAUGGAAUUCCUGGUGGAGCGGUGGAAUGCGCAGAUAUCAGGAGGAACACCAGUGGCGAAGGCGGUUCUCUGGGCCUUUCCUGACGCUGAGGAGCGAAAGCGUGGGGAGCGAACAGGCUUAGAUACCCUGGUAGUCCACGCUGUAAACGGUGGGUACUAGGUGUGGGGUCCAUUCCACGGGUUCCGUGCCGUAGCUAACGCUUUAAGUACCCCGCCUGGGGAGUACGGCCGCAAGGCUAAAACUCAAAGGAAUUGACGGGGCCCCGCACAAGCGGCGGAGCAUGCGGAUUAAUUCGAUGCAACGCGUAGAACCUUACCUGGGUUUGACAUGGAUCGGGAGCGCUCAGAGAUGGGUGUGCCUCUUUUGGGGUCGGUUCACAGGUGGUGCAUGGCUGUCGUCAGCUCGUGUCGUGAGAUGUUGGGUUAAGUCCCGCAACGAGCGCAACCCUUGUUCACUGUUGCCAGCACGUUAUGGUGGGGACUCAGUGGAGACCGCCGGGGUCAACUCGGAGGAAGGUGGGGAUGACGUCAAGUCAUCAUGCCCCUUAUGUCCAGGGCUUCACGCAUGCUACAAUGGCUGGUACAGAGAGUGGCGAGCCUGUGAGGGUGAGCGAAUCUCGGAAAGCCGGUCUCAGUUCGGAUUGGGGUCUGCAACUCGACCUCAUGAAGUCGGAGUCGCUAGUAAUCGCAGAUCAGCAACGCUGCGGUGAAUACGUUCCCGGGGCU